GCUUUGGUGGUGUAGUUGGUAACACGCCUCUUAAUUGUGAGUACCCGAGGUGAUUGAUAUUCAUGGGAGUCUCUGGUUCGAAUCCAGACUAAGGCU